UCCCUGAUGGUCUAGAGACUAAGACUCCACGCUCCCAAUGCAGGGGACCUGGGUUCAAUCCCUGGUCAGGGAA
rnacentral:tRNA from 1 species